UUAAUUAAAACCAAAAUAGAGGUAAAUUAUUGUUAAUAAUUUUAUUGAAUUAAUAUUCUAAUUAAU
rnacentral:tRNA from 1 species